UGGGGAAUUUUUCACAAUGGGCGCAAGCCUGAUGCAGCCAUGCCGCGUGUAUGAAGAAGGCCUUCGGGUUGUAAAGUACUUUCAGUCGGGAGGAAGGUGGUAAGGUUAAUAACCUUAUCAAUUGACGUUACCGACAGAAGAAGCACCGGCUAACUCCGUGCCAGCAGCCGCGGUAAUACGGAGGGUGCAAGCGUUAAUCGGAAUUACUGGGCGUAAAGCGCACGCAGGCGGUUUGUUAAGUCAGAUGUGAAAUCCCCGGGCUCAACCUGGGAACUGCAUCUGAUACUGGCAAGCUUGAGUCUCGUAGAGGGGGGUAGAAUUCCAGGUGUAGCGGUGAAAGGCGUAGAGAUCGGGAGGAAUACCGGUGGCGAAGGCGGCCCCCUGGACGAAGACUGACGCUCAGGUGCGAAAGCGUGGGGGGGAAACAGG
rnacentral:rRNA from 1 species